rnacentral:rRNA from 1 species
GGGUUGUGAGGUUAAGCGACCAAGCGUACACGGUGGAUGCCCUGGCAGUCAGAGGCGAUGAAGGACGUGCUAAUCUGCGAUAAGCGCCGGUAAGGUGAUAUGAACCGUUAUAACCGGCGAUUUCCGAAUGGGGAAACCCAGUGUGACUCGUCACACUAUCAUUAACUGAAUCCAUAGGUUAAUGAGGCGAACCGGGGGAACUGAAACAUCUAAGUACCCCGAGGAAAAGAAAUCAACCGAGAUUCCCCCAGUAGCGGCGAGCGAACGGGGAGGAGCCCAGAGCCUGAAUCAGCAUGUGUGUUAGUGGAAGCGUCUGGAAAGGCGCGCGAUACAGGGUGAC